GCCUCCUUGUAAGCGGUUUGAGUAUGUACCUUUUUUCCGAGUAAAGUAUUUUAUUUUACACUUCACAUCUGUCUCUGGUUUCGUGCAUUUGAGUCCUCCUUCCCUGUGUCUGAGGUCGUUACACAAAAAUGGUUAUAGAAGGAGACGUAGGAUGGGAAUCAUGUGAGGCAAGUUGGAAGAUAGCUCAGCUACAGAAUCGUUUACUUGAUAUGGAUGAAAGUGUGUGUCGCCACCCUUCGCGAAGUACAGUGGAGGAGGGAAUGCGCAAAGCAACAAACCAUUUUUUGUAUUUAUCUACAAACAAUUUCGUGACUCACCUGGGUGUCGUGGACCCCCUGUUGAAGACCUAUGCUCUAGAACAGGGGUGGGGAACCUUUUUCCUAUCAAGGGCCAUUUUAUUUUUUACAACAUCCUUCAAGGGCCGUACUAAUUAUUGAAGUCAUAACCUCUGCAAAAACAUUUAAGACGCAGCCCACUUUCACUUUAUGCUGUGCAAAAAAGCAACUUUUUUAAUCCAUGUAUCUUUCUGUUUUAUUAUAAAUCAGCAAUCUUUUAUUAGUCCCACAACGGGGAAAUGUAUCUUGUCACAGUAAAAGAACAUAUGAAGUAAAAAGGCAGUACACAAUAAUUAAAUAGAAUAAAAAAUAAUGUAAGUACCAAGUGGUUGAUAGAAAACAAAGUGAACAUUGCACGUGGCAGUGAUAAUUGCACAAAUUAUAAGAAGUGAGUAUUGUAAAUGGCAGUGAUAAUUGCACAGCAGUGGUGGAAUAGUCUGAACUUGGUGUGGUGGUCUAUCUAUCUAUCUUUCUAUGUUUGUAUGUUACGCAUACCUGUCAACAUUGAAAUUUCAAAAUAAGGGACAUUUUUGGCGGACUCCGCCCAUAUUUUAAUAGCUCUCAGCCACCGAGCCCCUACCCAUGUAAUGUAAAUGUAAACACAUAAGGGACGGGUAUAUACAUUCAGGAAAUACAUGUUUAUUUAAAGUAUGUCUUACUUGUACAGACAUGUUUAUAAAAUGUAUGUAUUAUAUUUAUUAGUUAAUAUCAAUUUAUUUGAUGAUUGAUGAGUUGUGUGGCUUUUGUUUCCCUCGACGAGGACUUCCUUGCGAUGGCAGAGUCUGGAAACAUGUCCGCUACACUGCGACUGAAAUCACCGCAGAAGCUGAAGGCUACAUUAUUUUUGGCACAAAGCAUCAACA
rnacentral:lncRNA from 1 species